UACAGAGGGUGCGAGCGUUGUUCGGAAUUACUGGGCGUAAAGCGCGCGCAGGCGGCCCUUUAAGUCCAUCGGUCAAAUGCCGGAGCUCAACUCCGCGCGUGCCGAGGAUACUGGAGGGCUGGAGACACGUAGAGGCAAGCGGAAUUCCGGGUGUAGCGGUGGAAUGCGUAGAGAUCCGGAAGAACACCGGAGGCGAAGGCGGCUUGCUGGGCGUGGAUCUGACGCUGAGGCGCGAAAGCGUGGGGAGCAACAGGAUUAAGAACCCUGGUA
rnacentral:rRNA from 1 species